GACGAACGCUGGCGGCGUGCUUUAGGCAUGCAAGUCGAACGCGAAAGCCCCUUCGGGGGUGAGUAGAGUGGCGAACGGGUGAGUAACACGUGGGUAACCUGCCCCUCGCAGGGGGAUAACCGGGGGAAACCCCGGCUAAUACCCCGUACGCUUGCUGGGGCGCAUGCUCCGGCAAGGAAAGGUAGCUUCGGCCAUCCGGCGAGGGAGGGGCCCGCGGCCCAUUAGCUAGUUGGUGGGGUAACGGCCCACCAAGGCGACGAUGGGUAGCUGGCCUGAGGGGGUGGUCAGCCACACUGGGACUGAGACACGGCCCAGACUCCUACGGGAGGCAGCAGCCAGGAAUCUUGCGCAAUGGGCGAAAGCCUGACGCAGCAACGCCGCGUGGGCGAUGAAGGCCUUCGGGUCGUAAAGCCCUGUUGUCGGGGACGAAGGGCGAAGGGUUAAUAGCCCCUAGCCUGACGGUACCCGACGAGGAAGCCCCGGCUAACUACGUG
rnacentral:rRNA from 1 species